GCUCUCGUGGCUAAGUUGGCUGGAGCGUUGGCUGUACCAAGGCCUUCCCCUAGUUAGCGUGGGUUCGUAUCCCACCGAGACCA
rnacentral:tRNA from 1 species